CUUUCAUCCCUUUUUUCACGUUUGAUGAAGCAAUGGAAAAAAUAAUACCAUUAUUUAAGCAAACCAAAAUGACCCAAAAAAAUUGCAUGACAAUUCAUAACAUACCCACCCCUAGUCCUAAUCAUGCCACCUGAGGAUAAAAAAACUCAAAAAGAAGCUCAAGGUCACUAUAGAAAGAACCAUUUGCUAUUCCAACCACUUCAAAGCCUGAUAACCCACAUUUUAUGAGUUAUUCUACACUCUAGAGUUGUCAAAAUAGGCUAGCCCAUAUGGGCUGGUCCGCUAGGCCCAAAAAAAUCAUAGGGUUUGGGCCUUAAAAUUAGAGUCCAUAUUUUUUAGAACUUUUUUAGCCCGACCCUAAAAAAUCCGCUACCCACUAGGGCUAACCCUUAUAGGCCGUGGGUAGCCCGUUACCCCCACAUAGCUAUAAAUUUUUAAAAAAUUAUAUUAAUAAUUAUAUUGUCUUACUCCAAAAUAACACAUUGAUUUUUCUCACCUCAUAAAAUUUUAUCUCUAUUUUAUUCAAUAUUUCUCUUUUAAAUUUUAUAUAUUAGUAUAAUCAACACUCUAUCCUCGUAUUCUAUUAGUUUCUCUUAUGUUAAAUAUCCGAGUAUUAUUUUAUACAAUUUAGACUGUGUUGUAUUUAAAAACACAUUAUAGUAUUUAUAAUAGAUAAUAUAUAACUUUAAAAUGUAUUAUGUUUAAAUAAUAUAGUUUUUAAUUUCAUUUAUAAUAAAUAUUAUAGGGUUUUUUAUUUUAAUUUUUUAUUAAAAAAAAGCACGUUUAGGGCUCGGUAACCCGAAGUCCAACUAGAGUCGGGCUCAGGAAGUAAUGUUUAAGGCCAUAUUACAACAAGGCUUUUUUGGGCCAACCCUAAAAAGCUUGAGGCCCGCCAGGACCGACCCAUUUAGGGUCGGGUAGCCCAUUUUAACAACUCUAAUACAGUCUAGUCUCUUGUUUAAAGCCAAUAGAUUUAUCAUUUUAUUUGUGUUUUAAUGCGUUGUAGAUGUUUCUGCAGUUUUUAGCUUAGAGUAUAAUAUGUGCUCCCUCUUGUAAUUUUUAUGUGUUUGUUGCUUGUUUUUAAGUAAGUGUUCUGGUGAGCUAAGGAAAGGAAGUUGAGGACAAAACCUGUGACUUCAAGCUGGAACAAAAAUGAAUUUAGUUAAGGAAUGAGAUGAAGAAACAGAUGAAUCCCUAGGGCAUACGUGGAUAAGAAGUUGCAUUGGGAAGGAAUAUUUGUUUAUGUGUUGGUAGAGCUCCAUUGAGCUGAGUGGAUAAGACUCGUGAUGUUAGAAAACAAAAGAAGGUACAAUAGUACAUCCUCAAUGGAGCAUACAAUGCAGAAAGGACAACACCGUUUGUGCCUCCUGCCACAACAGACUGCCAUGUUACACCUUGUCCCCCACUACUUUCCAUGUACCUGAUUUCUUGUAGACGAAGUUGAAGAAAGGAAUGGAAUAUUCUGAUUUGAUAUUUGGGCUUGAUGUGACCCUACAAAGGCCCAUGAUCCAAGACAAGAGAGAAAGAAAUCCUAGCUGAAUGCUUAUAAAUAGACAAUAUUGAAGUUGUUAGAGAGUUCAACACCUUAGAGAAAACCACAGAUAAAUUAUUGUAAGAAAUAGUGGAGAAAAAAGAGAGCUUUUUCUUUUCACAUUUUCUAGUGCUAAUUGCUAAAGCCUGACGCGACUGAAGUCAUCACUUGUUAUUUAUCCACCACAAGGAAGCUUCACGCUACUCUUAGGUUGCUAUUUCAUUGUCAUCAUUUGUUUAAGAAUGUUUCCUUUCAGAACCAGAUUUGUAAGUUCUACUCAGCUCAUCAUGAGUUAAACCUUUUGUUUGUUGAGCAAUGAGAAGUUAAUAUGAAGUUGUUUUUAUGUUGAAAUGGUGCAUUGUUUACUGCCUUGUUUUAUUAUGUAGUAACAUGUUUAAAUCUAAUUAUUUGAAUGAUCAACUUAGAAAAAGAUAAAACCUUGUUGUUGUGAGAGAUCCAACAAUAAGUGGAUUUCAUAAUAAAAGUAGUUGCAUGAGUAGGAUAAAGAUAUCACUCAUUUAGUUUGCUUAGAGAUAAGAAACUACAACUAUAAAGGAAUUUCAUGAGAGAAAUAGACGUAUCUUAUGGUUAUAAGUGAGACUUAGAGAUUUGUUCCCUUGCCCUUGUAUGAAUGCUUUUGAUGUUAUAGAAAUAUACUCCUAGAUCACCUACUGACCUUUUCUGGCACGACACUUCACAUCAUAUACACAUAAUUACUUCAUGCAUAUUAAUGGAUCACAACUCAAUAUAUACUCUCUUGAUAUAUUCAAACACACACUCUCUCGACAAUAUUAAGUUACUGAUUUAAGAAACAUUGAACUUGUGACAAUCUACUAUUCUUUUUACUCUUGAUCAUGCUUAACUUCUAAAGACAAUUGCUUAUAAAAUCAACCUAAGUUACUUACACUCCCUGUGGGUUCGAUAUCCUUACUUUUUAUCAUUUGCUACUUAUAACGAUCAUGUAUACUUGCGUGUAACACGUUUUCAAGUAACAAAGCCAAUACUACAUAAUCUAAGCUAUUUCACAAAUGAUAAAAAGAUGAGAAGCUGACUCAAACAAACCUCGCAGAUAGAACAAGAAACUCCAUCUAGAUUCAUAAUCACCCUCUUCUUAAAUAAAUCCUCUCUAAGGGGAACCUAUCUUGCAGAAGCUGCCAAAAAAACACUAGUCAAACUAACCGGAUAAAUGGCAAUGCCAAAUUAUCUAGAAGAUUAGGCGGAGCAGAAGAAAUAUUAAGAUCAACCUAAUCUUGGUAAGAAUAAGCAACCGAGAAAAUAACAUCUCUAGCAUAAUUCCAACUCCAUUUAUUUUUCUCGUAAUUUAGAGUCAAACCUUGAAGGAAGACAUACAAGUUAUCAGCCACAAAUUGCUCAUGUUCAAAGAAUGAUAUCCUUUACAUAAAAUUCUAAAGAAUUGUACCACCAACCAAAUGGCCUAACUCCCCAUUGUCCCUUUCAAAUAACUAUUGAUGGUAAAAAUUCUAGGGAACCUAACCUUAAGAGAAAUAUUUCCAACCUAAGGAUCUAACUAGAAAGAAUUUGAAAACUCGGACUCAUUUUCUUAAUAAUAUCAAUCUUCAAACCAAUUAGAGGGGUCAUCCUCUUUAGAUCCAAGGAGGCACACUCCUCUCCACCGAGAGGAUAGAUAUCGGGAACAUGAAGCCCUACCACCCCUUAAAGAUGAAACAACAUGAGAACCAUAUCUAGCUGCCAAAAUACUAACUUAAAGGUCAUUAGUUUCAGAGAUCAACCUACACCUUUAUUUGGCCAAAAGGGAUAUAUUAACCAAGCGAAGAUCACUAACCCCAAAGUCAACUUAACACUUAGUUUUACAAACAUCCCCCCACUUAACCCAUGAGAUCUUAAAGUUUUCUUUCACACCUCCCCACACAAAUCUUCUUUGAAUCUAACUAUUUUCUUUCAAACUUUCACACACAUUUUGAGAAAAGAUAGUAAAAAUACAAUAAUAACAUUAAACAUAGAGUUAAGAAUAACCAUUUAAUACCUAAACUGUAAACUUGUGCUUCCACAAAUUUCUCUUAGAAAACAUAUUAACUAGAUGAUCUUAGGUGCCCUCAGUACUUGAAAGGAAUAAACUCAAGAUUGCAAUGGAGAAACUCAUCGGCUGAAUCCAAAAAAAAAGAAUAGAGUUCACAUUAACCUCUAUCAAACUACUCUUAAAAAAAAUAGACAUUAAAACUAAAAAUCUUUAAAAAUAGCCUUAAUCCUCAAUAUAUUCUGUUAGAACAAAAUUGACCAUCGAUAAUUAUUUGAUAAAUCAUUUGAUUAAUAUUAUUGAAUUUGACUGAAUCCUAAACAAUCAUAAAUCCUAUAGUUGGAUUCACCAUAUCCUAAAACACAAUUUUCUCCGUCAAAUUAACUCCAUCCUUAAACACAAUAUAUAACCAUGUAUGAAAAAUAUGUCCUCGUAUAUCUUUUUAUUAGAAUCACUUGAAAAAAGAAAAGAAAGGUCUCAUUAAGUGACAUCACUAUCAACUAGUACUAUUCAACCAUAGGUUUUUAAAUGUUCAUGUCUAUGAUGAUGUUCAUGCAGUCAACGCCCAUUGUACAACAUCCAUUAAUUCUCACUCACCAUACACAUACAUAAGUCAUAACCAUCCUCCUCACGUGCCGUUAACUCCUCCGUUAAUAAAAACACAUAACGCCGUUCCUUCCCACUUCACUUCUAUUAACCGCAAACAGUCCCACUAAAACCAACACACCACCAACUCUGUCUUUUCCUUCAUUCAAAUCUAUUAACAACUAUAUCAACAACACCACAUGAGAGAUUGAGAUUGAGAUUGAAAUUGUGCAUCUAAGAACAAGAAAAAAUGAAACUCUUUUACAUGUUCUUGAUGAAUCUCCUAUUGUUUAUUACUCUUGCAGAAUCAUCAUCUUCAUGCAACAUUGAAAACCAGAAUCUUAUAUCAAAGGCUUUCCAAUCUGUCUCUGGAUUCAACUCUUCAUUGUUCCAAACAAGAGGCUUAUUCAUCUGUUCUAAGGGUGAGAAUGAGAUUAACAUCAUAAACCUUCCAUCCAAAAACCUUACCGGAAACAUCUCAUGGAGAUACCUAAGAAACAUGACAGCCUUAGAGUUUCUCGAUCUCUCCGAAAAUCAUCUACAAGGCCAAGUCCCAAACUGGUUCUGGAAAACUACUUCAUCAAGUUUAUUAACAGUGAAUCUCUCCAAAAACAGAUUCGGUGGAAGCAUUGCAUUCCAAAUGAAACCCUUUUCAUCGUCACUACAAAAUCUCAAUCUCUCAAACAACAGAUUCACAAACCAGGUUCAUCUUUCGUCUUUUCAAAACCUUAAAAUCCUCGACCUUUCCAACAACAACCUCAACGCUUUACCUUCAGGACUUCAAAAUCUCACGAAACUUAACCACCUCGAUCUCUCAAACUGUAACAUCAAAGGAAACAUAAAACCCAUUUCCCAUCUCACCUCACUCUCUUCCUUAAACCUCUCAAACAAUACCUUAAACGGCACUUUCCCUUCUGACUUUCCACCUCUCAACAACCUUACAUUCCUCAACAUCUCAAACAACAACUUCAAAUCUUCAUCUCCAUUAUACAAACUAAUCAAAAGAUUCGGAAAAUCAUCAUUCAUUCACGCAGGUAACAAUUUCGAUUCCAACAACAACCUCAACGCAUCCAAAACACCAAACAUUCAUUCAAAAUCAAACCUACCACACUACCACCACCACCAACAACAACAACAACUCCACUUGAAAAAAACCAAACAAAAACACAAACACAAGUCAAAAUCAAAAACCAAGAUUAUUAUUAUCGCAACAGUUUCCUCAGUUUCAACAUUCAUUCUUGUCGUAUUAUCCAUAUUAGCAAUCUUCGGUUACAGAAAGAAAAAACAACAAGCAAAAAAGAACAAAUGGGCAAUCUCAAUUUCAAAACCAGUGAUGGGAUUAACAACAACCCUCAAAUCAGGACCGUUCGAGUUUGAAACCGAAUCCGGAACAUCAUGGGUGGCUGAUCUGAAAGAACCAUCUUCUGCAGCAGUUGUAAUGUUUGAGAAACCAUUGAUGAACAUUACGUUCGUUGAUCUCAUGACUGCCACGUCAUACUUUGGAAAAGAUUCACAGCUUGCUGAAGGUAGAUGUGGGCCCGUUUACCGUGCGGUUUUACCUGGUGACAUACACGUGGCAAUCAAGGUUCUUGAAAAUGCGAGAGACGUUGAUCAUGAUGACUCUGUUGCAACUUUCGUUGACUUGUCUCAGCUUAAACAUCCCAAUCUUUUGCCUCUCUCUGGUUACUGUAUUGCAGGUACUAUUUUUCUCUCUGGUUUUUUCAUUGUUUUUUCUUUCAAAUGGUUCCAAAAUUUUCUUGAUUUUUUUAUUGCAGUGUCCUUUUGGAUUAACCUACUCUCAUUAAAUGAUUUUCACGGGU
rnacentral:lncRNA from 1 species